rnacentral:misc_RNA from 1 species
GAUGAAGAACGUAGCAAAAUGCGAUAAGUAAUGUGAAUUGCAGAAUUCAGUGAAUCAUCGAAUCUUUGAACGCACAUUGCGCCCGCCAGCAUUCUGGCGGGCAUGCCUGUUCGAGCGUCAUUUCAACCAUCAAGCCCCCGGCUUGUGUUGGGGACCUGCGGCUGCCGCAGGCCCUGAAAACCAGUGGCGGGCUCGCUGUCACACCGAGCGUAGUAGAUUUUCAUCUCGCUCAGGGCGUGCUGCGGGUUCCGGCCGUAAAAAGCCUUAUUUACCCAAGGUUGACCUCGGAUCAGGUAGGAAGACCCGCUGAACUUAAGCAUAUCAAUAAGCGGAGGA